GCUGCACUGAGGAAGAGGAGAAGAAGAACGACUGGAUGAAGCCUGCUGUAAUAUCUGUGCUGGGAGCCCGAGGCAACAAAAACAAAAGACAAACACGAUGUGUGGAAGUGACGGCUGCGUCUCGACAGCCUGCGUCACCGCAGUCAAACAGGAAGAAUCCAGUAAGGUAAAUUACAGUGAUGUGUGUUUGAGGGCUGUAAUUAUCUGGGCUCUGAUCCCCGCUGCUUUGAUGAACUCGUGAACAUGAAACAGUGGCGCUCUGUGAAGCCUCCAGCUCGACUCCGAUCAGCUGAUACGCAGACGACAGUGACGUGUUCUUUGAUCUCAGAGACCAAACUCUCACUUUAUCUCCGAUACAAAUCACACGAGCUUGGUUUUAACGCUUUCACUGAGUUACAUCAUCAGAUCUGCAGAAGAAGAAGAGACGCCUCUGCUCUCUUAUUUAAGCUGUGUGAGGAGACAGCAACCUCAUCUUAAUCAGACCGUCUUUACACUGUAAAAAAAAUCCUCCCAACAACUCCGUUUACAGCAACCUACUGCAAAAAACUCUCUCUGAGCUCUCUCGGGGAGAAACAAGAGGUCCAGUGUUGGGUCUAAAACCUGCAACAAACGACUCAAACACAAAGAAGAGAAAGACAAUGGUAUUAGAUUUCUUACUUGUGAGGAGAAUGGACAGAGAUACUUUCAGUUACAAUCUCCAACUGCUCUAAAGCAUCUCUGUCCUUUCCUCUCUUUUUAUUAUCCUUAGGGUGGUCCCUAGUUACAUAAUGCUACAUACACUGAAGGGUGGGGAAUCAAUCUGCAGCAGCGUAUUCACUUUCAUAACACAUAAUUAUUAACAAGCAGACAAUCUGUGAGGGUCAAGAUGACCUUGUUGACAUUUCACAAUCUCCUUCUUAUGGUAGGAACGGUUCCUCCUUUACUACUGCUCCCACGUCUCACAGCGGAGGUUUCAAAAUACAGACCUGCUAAUUGGAGAAACAAGGUCAGAGAAGUUAGAAAACACUCAUGCGUACUUUCUCAUGUGCUGUGUAACAAGAGGUCAAAGCAGUUCAUGGUUGUAGGAAACUUUUCCAUUUGGAAUUUGAGUAAGACUAUUGAUAAUUUCUAUAUACAUUUAUACACAUUAUUCUGACAUCCAGAAAGCCAAAGGAAUCGUGGACCAGUCUGGACACAUCCUUUACUCAGAGUUUUCUCUUAUGCCCUCUGGGAGGCGCUACUAUGCCCCCCCAAGAGGAACCAAUAGUAGUGGACUGGUGGCACGUGUUGGAUUUUGGGGUGCUGAAAUUGGGGUUUCAGGAUUCUUAUUUUACUCUUUUUAUCGCAUUAUUUUUUUAAAAUUGCAUUUUAGUCAUUUGAAUGUAUUGCACAUGUAUUUAUUAUCUAGUUAUCUAUUUAUUGCUGAUUUAUGGUGCUGACAGGGGAAUGUUUGGGCCAAAUGCUGCUGCUGUGAAUGUCUGGUUUUUGUCCCUUCCUUGACCGUUUAACAACAAGGCGGGUUACUGUGAAGUGAAUUGACCUUCGGGGAUUAAUGAAGUUAUCUGAAUCUGAAAACAACAAAAACAACAACAUCUCAACUGUAAAACAGCAGAGUUAAAGUCAGUGACCUGCAAACAUUCAACACUGAAAACUGGGUUUUAAAGAGUCCGUCUUUUGUGCUGAAAAAAAGUUUAAUGUAUAAGCUACACAGCAAAAAAUGCCUACCAUUACAACCAAAUUUGGACUUGUUAAGCCACUUGGUUUAUCAAGAGAUUUGUUCACACAUGAACUAAACUCCUAAAAACAGCUUCAGCGGGUCUUAAGGGACAUAAUGGCAUAUGAUAAAAAAAUUAACUUCAUGUCAGACCUUUACGACACUGUUAGCCAAAGUUAUUAUAAACAAACUGGCAUGAGUGAUGUGCAACUCCAGUUCAAGAAAGAUCAGACGAAAUCUGAAAUGAUGACAAAUUCAAAUUUUGAUUGUGCGCAGAUCAUUUAAAGUCGAUAUAAAAUGGACAACAUCUCCUCAUCAUCGUGUGUCCUCAGCUCUUCUUUCUCCAACCCUCUGUAGACCUUAGUGAACCCAGCAGACCAGGUUCUGGAGUCUGACAGUCAAAUGUUGUCCCUGAUAGAGGAUUUCAGCUGCUCAACAGUUCAGGUUCUCCUUGGUCCAGUUGUCCUUUUCCAUGCGGUGAUUUCCACUCCUGAGUCCCGGAGUGGAAAUGAAGGUCUUCCCUGAAAAAGUCGUUUCUCCUAAACCUGUAGAUAUUGUUCAGCAUUAAUGGAGCCUUUACAGAUGACAUGGACUCUGGUGAUCCCCAGACAAUCAGGGAUGCUGGAUUUGGACUGAGGUGGAUCCUUCACUCGUUCUCAGACAUAAAUGAUCCCUGUGAUGAUGAUUUUUUAAGGUCAGCCGUUCAGACAAUCCGGCGUUCCCUCGGAAAAGCAGCUUUUUUUCAGUCUAAUUCUUCUUUGUGUUCCUUCAGAAAAUAUAAAUAAAUGCAAAUUUAAGACGUCUCUGAAUACUUCAGAGCAGUUUCAGGCUUCACGUCUUUACAACAAGCGGAGCAGAUGCUGAUUUUUUCCAGUCAUCUUUUCCCAAGAACACGUUUGCUGUCUGCACAUUUCCCAUCGUUAUUUUGAAUAAAUUGAGAGGCGGUUGCGUCAGACCAACGAUUAUUCAUGAAAAGCAAAACUGGAUGAGAGAGAAACACAGUAACAAGUGAAGUUAUUUAAAACUGUGAAGAUAACAGCCACAGAAAUGAGACGUGUUAAUCCCCGCACUGUAGCCGAAACAUAAACACAUCACAAGGCCUUAAACGUGAUGAAAACGGCGAAGAGCGGCUACCUGCGCACAAACAAACCCGAGUGAAGAGUCUGACAGUGACAUGAUUACACAGCUGCAGAUUUCACAUCAGAAAACCAGAGGCUGGGGGGUUUUAAAGCUUAACUGAAAAGCUUCAGGACGAACGGCGGAUUAUUGAUCUGGAUGACAACGCAAACUGUCCCGAUAGAAAAACAACCGGGAAGAAAAGACUCGUGAAUUUGGAUUUUCUUCAGCAUAGAGAAGGGAUGCAGAGGGAAACUUCUAACCGAGCCUGAUCAACAGAAGAGAAACUGAAGCCGUGAAAUAAUCAGUUUUAAAAGGGUGUAUUUUCUGCUCCUCCUGGCACUUACAGAAGCACUUCAGUUUGAGUAAAGUUUGAAGACUGGAAUCAAACAUUUCAGCGCUGUGUCCUCCUGUUAUCCUCCCACUCAGCCCGCUCACAGGGUGACACUCUCAUCGCCUCCAAAUGUCAGACAGAUCUCUGCCGGCUGCAGUUUUAAGUGUGUUUCUUUUCUCUUUCUGCCGAUUCUCACUCAGCGAUCACCGCGCUGCACUUUGCUCCUCCAUCACCUCCUCUCUGCCGUCAUUUAAGACCUCUCUGCCCGUCACCGCCUGAACUCAACCACGGCCGCUUCUCCUGUCCGACAGAGAGAGAAAGAAAAAUUACAGCUAAGAGAAAGAGUGGUCUCCAGUCUGCAGGUGCUGCUGUGAGUCAUCGAGUGAUCUCAGAUGAUCUGUCAGAGUAUUAACGCCGCCGCCUUUACACACAGUCAGCCUUUCAGAGUGUGGCGACCAUUCAGACAUGUCGCUCAGCAGAGGAGCCACGUCUGAAAGCUAACCCUGAUUUUUCCUCCAUAUGAAGAGAAAACUGUUUUUAUUUUUGCAGCUGGAAGCAAAAGAUGAACUUUUAUGAGCUGAAUAAGUUUGAAACAUUCAUCCCUCAUUUCAAGUAUUUGUCUUAAAUUUGCAUAAAUGCUCAUUCAAAUGUAUGAAAACAACAGCGGUGCACAAAAUCCUUUUAUGAGGCAGGACUGAACAUUUCUUUUUACAACCAGUUGAGUCGCCCUCUGCUGGGCAUUUAAAAGAAUGCAGGUUAUUGCACUCAUGUACCUUACCCAGUCUAUCACUUUCAUUGAUCGUGUUUUAAACUCAGUCAGCUCCAAAAGGUUCUUAUUCAAAGUAAAUGCACUUCAGCAGCAUCCUCAGUCUAAAAAAGUUCCACUUCUGCAAAUACAAAUGUGACCUUUUAAUCAACAGCCAAUCAGAAUCAAGAAGGGGAGGGACUUUCCAUCAACUUUGAAGACAGAGAAUGGAAAGGAGGAGCCAAAAAAUGGACCUUAAGGGUUCAUUGAGUGCCUCGCAUACGCAGAGAAGUUUCAGACGUGAAGAUCUGAAUGAAUCUUGUUAAAGGUUCCUAUUACAUCAAGUUUAAAUUGGUCCCAGAGGUCCCACAAUAGUACAUUUGAGCUCCACUGAGAACAGUCUGAUUCUGCGCCUGUACCUUCAAACAAUAAUGAGCUGUGUGUAAUCGUGCUCCUCCUCCCCAAGGCCACUCUAAACUGCCGGCGCAGCCGCAGUGGUCUGCAGAUCUUCUGAGGACCUCGAGACCACCGCAACUGGAAGCACCAGCCUGCCUCUGUGCCCCCGAGGAACACCCACUGCUCACGGGAAUAAAAUUAGAAAGAAGCGAGUCCAAAGACGACGACCAAUGAUGGUAAACACGCGCAAUUGCAGCCAAAGCACUAGUCAACGGACGGCGGUAAAGCGACAUAAACGGUUAAAACUUAUGGCUUCCACGUUUAAAGUUAGGUCUCUGACACGGACAGUCGGUAUGGAUCCAGGUUUUAUCCUUAACUUCUUAGCGAAUCCGAAAGAGUUGUUGUAAAACAAAAUUAAUCCACUGGGUCCUCAAUUCUCCCGAUGAAGGAGGCAGAAAUAGACUCCUGUCUUCGUUUGUGCAGCCAAGAACCACGCAGCGGCUGGGUCGUAGCUUCGGCAUGGUUGUUGCUGUACCGGAGCGGCGUGUACUAGGGGAAAAAAUGGUGGACGUUACCUCAGCGAAGAAGUUUUAGAGGGCUAGGCUAACACAUAUCGGGGGUGCUGCCACUAACAUGUGGGAGGGGCUUAUGCAGUUGUGUCGUCAUAUCUGCACAGCUUUUCCAUCCGCUCGUUUGCGCUCAUGUUUUCAGGAAGGAGGGGAGAGCAAGAGAGGGAGAGAAUGAAAUGUUUUCAUGUCAGGAGGGGUUUCGUCUUCGAGGGGAUGCAUAUUAUUGGUAGAAAAACCACCAAGAAGUGGAUUUUUCAUAAUAGGGGACCUUUAAGACACACAGGACUCUCUGGGUUUAUAUUUCUGGUUCUGUUCGGUGUGAAAUUCUUCAGUCCUGGUCCAGAGUCUAUUACUGUUCAGAUAAAUCUGUAACCCCCUCAGAUACUCGAUGAGUCCAGUACCGCUGACAGUACCAGAACAAUUCUGCUCCAGCUGCUUGUACAUCAGAAUCCUCGCUCUGUUAUCAUUUGACUUUGUUGGAUCUCAGCACUCCAACCUUCAGCUUGUAUCUCUGUCAGAGGCCAAAUCCCCGCUCCCUGUUCAGAUCUGACCUUCCUCCUUCAGAAUCAAAGGAUUAUGGGAAAUGAUCAGUGUUUCCAGCGCUCUCAACACACAUCCGUGCGUGAUAGGAUCUGACGCCAUCGCUCUUGUCAAUCUGCAGGUAAAAUAAAGCACAGAUAAGCCGGCUGUGAUAAGCUGCAGCUCCUUGAAGUGUUAUAUUCAUUUCAGAGCUGACUGUGUUUGAUCCUAUCACCGCAGGCCCGUACCCUCAACCAGAACAUUUCCAUGCAGGCCGGCCCGUGUUUCUGCAAUAUAUUCAGGGCGGCGAGCGGCCUCGCUUAGCACGAUCACAUCAGGUUAGAGAUCCCACAGGAAGGCGAGGGGAAAGCCAAUGAGGCGGCCCACUCAAAACCCAAAAUGACAUCAACAGAACCGCAGUGGGACACGGGCUGCCUUCAGAUCAUCUAUUGCUGUUUAGGAGCCAGACUGAGGGGUUAUCGUGGAAACUGAGCGUGCUCAGACAUGAACGCUGGGAACGCGGGAACCAUGACGCAGUUUCCUGAUGCUCGAAUGUUCUUACCGCCCAACGGAGACCAGCAGCCCGUCUUUCAGGUCCCGUCCAAACAUCCUCAAAACGGUCUCGAACUCUUCCAGCUGUCGCCUCGUCAGUGUGGUGGAUCCUCCUCCUCUGCAGAGGUGAUCAGGUGAUCGACACUUCUGAAGUUUAUCAAUCUGCUUUCAGGGAAAUUCACGUCCACUCAUCAGAACCGUACAGGACUGGAUCGGAUGAUGCUCUCUGUUCUUGUGCUGCUUCACACAGUUGACAGCUAAAUUCUCUUGGACAGGCGCUACAGUUUCACCAGCAUCUCUGACGCUGUUUUUGAGCGGUUCAAGUCUGUCAGUGUGGAUUCAGGCUUUUCAGAUGACUUACAGUGUCCCCCAGGGGUCAAUUCUCAGUCCUGCACUUUUGAACCUUUAUGCCUCUUAGAAAUGUCAUCAGAGGAUCAACUUCCAUAGUUACGCAGAUGACGCUCAGCUCUACAUUGAUGACACAGGUCCAGCCGAUACACUUUAAAACAAAGUCAUGGAUGGCCGAGAACUUUUUACACAACUCAACUGGUACAAUAUCGGUUCUGGUUACUCGUACUAGAGAUACUACCUACUACCUAUGUCACAGGGGCAUCUCUGUUCUGAUUGGAUAUCGUCAUGCUACUUAUAAAAGAAGCGACCUUAAUGUGCUGCAAACUCGCUCGUGUAUUUUACUCAAUUUGUUUAAUUUAGCCGCUUGAUUCCCUUAAAUGACAACUAAUGAUGAUUAACGGGUGGUCUUUAAAUCGUUAACGAGAUGCAGUAAGUGAGUGCGUUUUAUCAUGAUGGCUGAUCUGAUUAUAUUAAUAUUAAGUUCUCGUCUAAUACUGAUACCGGGUCUGGACACCCAUCCCUACAUGUGACUCUUAAAAUAAAUCAGAUGUACUGACCUCAGAGUUUUGUUCCAAAGGUGUUCAAAGUCGAUUUCAUAAGAAGCAGGUUACAGACUUCAAAAACUGUUUCCUUAAAAUUUCAUCUUAAAAAGGGAGGGUCACAUUAUAAUCCCAUAAUCCUCUUAUAUUUGGACCAAAACAGAAGUUUGUGGCUCACCGCUGAGCACUAAAACAGGCCCGGGUCCGUUUCAGACGGCGGGCUCUGCAGCACAAUGAGCCCACACACGGUUAAAUGAAAUUAAUCAUCAGUCCGGCUGCGAGCGGGUACAGUACGGCUGCUUUAUGCAUAUUUCAUUCAUCUCUUCCACACCGCGGCUCGAUCAAUCCUUCAUGAAUAAGAAAACAGACCCAUUUAAGAUGAGGCCUCAUUUGUACACGUCCACAUUUCCUCCUCUCAGGGUUCGUAACGGUCCGACACCAAAGUCCAGUUCCUGUAAACCUCCAACAGAGAAUUGUUGAGGUUUAAAACGUCCGACAGUUCAAAAGGAGAGGGACGUUUUUAUCAGGGAAUCUUUAAACGAGCUGUCCUGUUUUCAGAGGUUCAGGAUGCAGAGUAAAAUCAGAACCACCAACCGCCAUCUUUAAAUCCUGCUACAAACCUUUUUAAAGUAAGCAGAAAUAAUAGUGAAUUUAACUCAUCAAAUCGCCGAAAAACACAUUAACUGUAAAAUCAGUGGAGGUCAUGGUGGCGGUGUUGUCACCUGUUUCUUUCUGUGGCAGAGGUUUUUAGCCAAUAAGCAGCUGACUCCAUACCAGAGGCGGGCCUUAAUGCUGCGUUUGAGUUAACCUAGAGAGUCAGAUGUUGGAGCUGAAAAUGACGUUACACCCGAGUUACGAGCGUUUCAGUUACCAAGUCGGAAAAAAGCAAAAUCAGAGGCCUGUAACGAGAUGGCUACGUCUACGAAAUUAUUUCAGCUCUUCCCUUGUCCGAAUAUAAGGCAAGCGCUCAAAUAACUUUCGUAGAUGUAGCCAUCUUGUUUUCGGCUCCGAUUUUACCUUUUUCCAACUUGGUAACUGAAACGCUUGUAACUCCGGUGUGACGUCAUUUUCAGCUCUUACGUCUGACUUCAGAGGUAACUCAAACGCGGCAUGAGUCUCCUCUUAUAUAAGCGACAGUGUGCCCGUCUGUCAGUCAGGUCAGCUGUGUCUCUGAUUGGCUGAUCAUGUUUAUGUAAGGAGGGACUUUGUUGGAUUUCCAGGUUGAACUUUUAUCGGCUUGUUUUCCGUGAAACUGGACUGAACCGGUCCAAUGUCAGACAGCGCCCUCUGCUGCUCAGACAGACGCAGAUAUUUAUCUCUCCUCUCACUGAUAAUUUCUUUCUUUUACAGACCUCUUUUGUUUUUUUUAUUUUUUAUUUUAUUUCUUCUUCUCUUUUUUCAUAGUUUUUCUCACCCAGCCCUCAUGGAUCUGUAUUCCCAUCAUGCCUCUGUGAUAUGACACAGUACCUUUUUUAGUCGCCGCUGUCGGAGUCACUUUGCUGGAUUUGCUUUUGAUGACUUUAAUAUCUGCUGUGACCUGCUUCCUGUGUGAGACCCGCAGGUUUCCCCUCAUAAAUUAUCCGUCCUGCUGCUGGGAAAUAAUAAACAUCACAGCCAUGGCGGCCAUGGCGGCCGUGGCGGCGGCGAGGAUUACUAAUGGGCUGCAGCUGACGAUUUGCGGCUCGGGCAAUCUGUCAAAAAAAGAAGAGAGGGAAAUAAUAAUAAUAAUAAAAAUAAUAAUAAGAGCGGCACAGUCAGAUGGGGAAUGGGAUCUGUGUGUGUGUGUGUGUGUGUGACACAACACCCGAUAAAUAACCCAUUUCAAUUUUUGAAGCAGUCAGGAUGAUAAACUCACAACAGGCUCCACGCUCACCUGUGUUGAUGCAUUACGUCCCGCUCGCAUGACAAAGUGGUCGUUUAAUCAAAAAUCUGUCGCCGCCGUACAGAAACGGCGCUCUGAUGGUGGCGGGUGACAAAAAAACUCCACAUGUAGAUCACAUGUUUGAUCAAACAGCCUCAUUAACAGGUGCUGACAUCUUGGCUCGUUUUCUUCUGCUGCUGCUGACCUCAGUUCUUAUCUGGGUGUUGAUUGGACAGUCAAUGGCGGUACGAUGGACCCGUGUUUGCUCGGCUGUGAGUGUGAGACCAGUGCAGAACUCUGGAUGAGGGUGGAGCGCCUCACCAUGGAUGUCCUGCUCAAGAACCUUCUCACACUCCCAGAACUGGACUCCACCACUCGGAGACUUUGGUCCCUCUGACAGGUUUCUGGAGUUACCUGAGGUAUCCCUGUGUCAGGUGGAGAACUUCCUCAUUAUGGUGGAUUAAUGGAGGGCGUAGGAUCAGGGAUCACAGGGUGGAGCUCGGCUAUCUGCUCUGUGUUUGAGGAGGAAGCGAGAGUCGGCGGCUGCAGGUGAAACAGGUGUGACUGCUUUUCCCAAAUUCCACCUCAGACCUUCAUUUCCACUCCAGAACUCAGGAGCGGAAAUCACAGCAUGGACCAUAUCCAGAACGUCUCCUAAAAGGUUGUAUCCGCUGAUCAUAACCAUUCAAGCUGACGUGUCAAUUUCCAUUGGCUUUCUGGACGCCGGGGCAUGGCGGAUAAAUUCAGCACAGAUUAACCCGUGCUGGAAAGGAAGUCGGGCACAGACACAAAAUAAAACAUCCGGCUUCUUUUCAAAAUAAAACAUCCGGCUUCUUUUCAAAAUAAAACACUCCGUGUUUCAGGAGGAUCGUAUUUCACACCAUGCAAACGGGCGGAGACGAACAAGUGAAAGGUUUUUAGACGUCAUUUCACCCCGAUGACACCAUGGAUGAGGAGAUGCUGAUUCUAGAAGUCUAGAAGUAGAUUUCCUCCUCUGGAAGGACACAAUCUACUGCUUAUAUGUCUAUGUGUCUGUCUUUAGAGAGACAACUUGUUAUGGCGCGAUUGUACACGAAUCUGUGUAAGGAAUUGGCAGACGGUGAAAAUCGCUGCCGUUGCGGAUUGGAGCGCUGAAAAAUGGGAGUGAGGGGGUCAUCUAAGCUGAUCUGGAUCAUAGUAAAGUGAAGCCGAUCAGGUUCCUGACUUCUUGUUGUUUCUCGUCAGUUUUUGUGUUUUUGUGCUCAGAGAGUUAAAGGGUGGACAUCUGAGGAGGAGACGGAGGAUCCAGGUUUCUGUUGUGAUUCAACAUUAGUGUGUGAAUUCUCUCCCUGCGCCGUCCGAUUCUGUUUUGAUGUCAGAGGCAGAGCGGCGUCCUCGGUGGCCUGCUGACCUGCCUGACGCCACUCUAAUUAGACUCUUUUAAUUAGCCGGCUGCCUCCUCGCCACCUCCUCUCCCUCCUCUGAAGCAGAGGACAGUUUGGUGGGUGGAGUGUUUCCUGCGGCUCAGAGCAGGGACCUCCUGAUUGGGCCCUCAGCUUUCACCUGUAAAGGUGGGCGGGGAUUUUAGGAGGAGUGAGGGUUUGUCUGUAACAGAGCAGCUGUGAUGGCGUCGCCGUCAGACAGCUUGUUGUUUUCCUCUCCCGUCCGUCCUCAGAGGAGGUUUCACCCACUGAAGAAGACCGCGGCUCUCUAAUUGAAGCUCGAUUUGAUUCUGCUGUAAAUUAAAUGUGCUUAUUCCUCUGUUGUUCUUCAGAUUGCUCGGCAUUAGCACCUCCGUUUGGUUUGACUUCUUCCUGAAAAGCAAUCAUUUCUCCCUAACCAGAUCUCUGUAACCACAUUUGCUCUGCUUAGCAUCAUAAAGCGGCGACUCGAAGAGGCUGAUUGGCCUUUUCAUGAAACCUGAACCACAGAUGAAGACUCCGAAGAGGAAAUGAAGGAGAACACACUCAGAGCUGGUGGGAGUUUCACUGCUGAACUGAGACAGAUGAAGGAAUAACCGCUGACCCACACUUCCCCGAGUCUGCAGGGAGGCUGGAGGUUCGAACACACUUCAGUUUCUGUUUUUAUCCUCUAUCUGAACUACAGAGGAUCCCUCAGCUUCGCACCUGAACGAGACAAAACACCAACUCAGAGGAAAUAAAAGGUUAACGUGCCACAAACCAACAACAUGUGGAGAAAACCCAAACAUGUCACGAUUGUGUAUUCCGUUUUGUCUGAAACCCUUAGAGCUUCUCACUGCCUGAUCUCCGAAACCAACCAUGGAAUUGAUCAACUAGUCUCUCAACACAAUUGACAAGAUUGGAGGUUUCGGGGGAACCUGCCUGCCCCGACAUGAAAUCUUUGUGGGUACAUGUGAUUAAAAAAUGGUCUUGUGUGUCAGUGUAUUAAUGAAUAGAAAAGUAAAUAGAAUGAACCAGUUCCAACAGAUCUAUCUGUUUUAGUUCUAUACUGUAAGCAGACUGCUGAUUUAUCUACAAAACAAGGAGAUGCUGGCAGCGGUCAAGAGCCCCCAAAGGCUGCCCGUCAUGAUUUUUGAGGUGGGCAAAGCCGUAGGAACUCUUUCUGGGGCGGUCUCCAGUCUUGAACAUCAAGUCAUGAUUGGGGAUCGCAAGGGAGACGUCAUCUUGGAGAGGCUGUUGACUUUGCAAAAGACAGUGGAUCAAUAUAGAGACCAGGAUGGACAAUCAGAGCAGCUGAAGUCUAUUGGAAUGUGGCCACUCGCUCUAACCCAAAUAUUCUAAUCUACUAUUCGGCUCCCUCGGUAUCGGCCUUGGCCAAGGUCGAUGCUGGCAGAACUCCUCCAGGAGAUCUCAGCAAUUCGACGCUCUGAACUUUCCUCCCCAACCCCCUCCUUCACGGACACCUGCGGAUUGUUGACUUCGUCUGAAACUCAAUCAAGGUCACCAAGAUUGUGGCGAUGGACGAAGUGACCUCCUGGGCCUACGCACACAUGCAUCCAUGAACCUUCACACACAUGCACAUACGCACACACUCACCUCUCCCCCAACCAACACCUUUGACGCUUCACCCCUCAGUGCGGUGGUUGGUACCCUGACUGGCGCCCGUGGGCAGCAGCUGUGGGCUUCCCACCAUCACUGAUGACCCAUUCCACUACCCCCCACACACACACAACCAUAGCAUGUCUCCGUCACUGCACUCAUAUUAAUGAGAGCAGUCUCUUUUUUUUACCUCGUCGUCUCCCUCCCUCUUGUGUAUACAUUCCCCAUCUGUAAAUGAAAUUUCGUUGUGCACAGUUGCAAUGACAGUAAAGACCAUACCAUACCAUGAAACGAUGACCCAGGUUUUAGAGGACCCCCCUUUUUAAAGACCCCAAACUCUUUUAACUGAAACAAUAAUCCAGCAGGCACGCAGAAUGAAACGAAGUUAGUUUUUAAUCAUGUUUUUAAACAUUGAAAUAAAAUCUUUGUGGGUACAUGUGAUAAAAAAAAUGGUCUUGUGUGUCAGUGUAUUAAUUAACCGAAAGGUGAAUAGAAUGAACCAGUUCAAACAAAUCUAUCUGUUUUAGUUCUAUACUGUGAGCAGACUGCUGAUAUCGUUUUAACUCAAAAGCAGUUAAAAAAAAAAAAAAGAAUUUUGGAAAUAUUCCAAAUUGGAAACUUUCAUGGGAAUUCAUGGGAAUUUACUGGAAUUAGCUGAAAAUAGGGGUUAUUUGAAUAAACUGUAUCAUAUCCAAACAUAAAUGUAAAUAUUUUUGUUUUGUCAUAAACAGACAUCCAUGUGAAAUAAUACAAUUAAAAAACAUGACACACAUCAGAUGGCAAACGUGACAUUUUACUGUUGAAUAAAAUAACAAAAAAUCUUGUAAAAACACUAAUGCAAUGACAUUUUAGAUUUAUUCCCGUUAAUUCACAUGGAGAGUUUCCAACUUUGAAUAUCCCAGAAUUUUGCAACCCUAUUCACAUUUCAGUAUUAAUAAUAAUAAUAAAGUCCGUCCUGAUUGGUGACAAGAACUUUAAAAAAUCACAGAUUGGAUCAGAACUGGAUUUAUUUCUCUCAGUCUGCAGCAUUUUAGGAUUUUCAGGAGAACUGAAGGUUAAAUCAGAGUCCUGAAUGAUGGGGGGGUAUCUCCUCUGACAUCAGCAGCUUCCAUAAGAGCCUCCUCUCUCUCCUCUCUGUCGCUGAUGCAUGCUGGGAGAUGAUACUGGGUGAUGGGAGGGGGUUGUUGUGGGCAUGAAUCGGCCCUGGCAGGCCUUAAUGCAGCUGUCAGGCGUCCUGGUCCAGCGAUGUGCCCCCCCUCCCCAACUCCGUCACCGUGGAGAUUAUACGGCUUUUAAAUGAGCUGCAGCCGUGGGGAACGGCAGCCGGGGAACGCCUGUCGCCGCGGCAACAUGAGCCAUGAUUUGCCGUGCCAUUAAUCUCAGCCGGCGAGAUCUCGGCCGAUUUGUCCUCGCCGACAAAUGAAGCUGUAAAACUUCUCCACGUCCCUGAAUGUGUCGCUCUGAGUGAAUCCCACUGACAGGAGCGGGAUGAGGCUGACACCUGGACCUGAGAGCGGCAACAUCAACCAAUCAGAGGCCGGGAUUCAAACAGGAAGAGAGGACUCUGAUUCAGAGGCAGGACAGGAAGAAGACAGCGCUCUACAGUCCCUGAGAGACGGACGGAUGUGAAAGGAGAGUGAGGACAGGAUGGACCAGAAAGUGUGGAGAUAAUCCUGAUAGUUACAGUCCGUCUGCAAACACGCCUCCUGGUAUCCUAAAUCUAUGACUCUGGCGCCCCCUGUGGACAGAGCAGUCUUUGCGUAUGUCGUCCUCGUUAGAGUGAGAAACUAUCGAACAGUUUUAUUCACAGACGGCUCCAGAGUCUGAGUGGCGGGUUUUGACGAUCGCAUUUUUACAGUGUGGAGUCUGUUUCCGUUCAGGGUCCUAGAUCAACAGUCUCUUCGUUCUCAGGCCCUGUGCUUGGCCCCGGGGGCCCCUGGGAGCCUGGAGGACCGUCUCAAGUGUUCCUGCUUUUUUUCUUUCCUCCUCUGCUUCUUUUCAUGGCGGCCAUUAGGCAGCCGGCCAGCAGCGGCGGCGGCGUCGACAGCAGACUGUGGCGUUUUUUCAGCCAAACAGCUGCGACAGGGACCGCAGCCUGAGACAGGAGAAGUUUUAAUGGGUAGGAGAAGGACCCUAACUGGUCUCCCAGGCCCCUAUAAUCCUCCUCUCUCCCCUGACUCUGCAUCCAGCAAAGCAUCUUGGGAAAGGUGGCGUGUUGCCUCUGGGAGGGGCUGUAGCUGCAGUAAUGCUGACCUCUGGGAGUUUCCAGCUGAGGUUUUUUUCUGCUGCUCGUUAAACACGAACUUUAAAUUAGCAUCAUUGUGAAGGUCUGGAAGCUUUCGACCAAUCAGAAUCAAGCUCCUAACACGUUUGGUAAUCAUGGAGACGGACGGUUUCUGGAGAAGACCAUAGAGAUGAAAACGUCUCGGGGAGGAUGAGGCAAAACAAAGAGGUGAGCGGAGUGAUCAAAGGAGCAUGAAGAGGUCGGAGAUGUUCAGAGUUUACGGCGUUUUGACGAGAGAACAGAAGACGAAGCCUGAGGGACGCAGAGCUGCUGGAAAUCUAACGUCUCUCUGUUUUUCUCUUUUCCUCAGGCUGAAGCUGGAUUUUUUUUACACACCUGAAGGUUUCUGCAGAAAGUGGAGGGAUGGACUCGACUCAGAAAGAAAGAAAGAAAUAUUUGUAAUCCUGGAGAUCUCCAGCUUCAGUGUCGAUGGACCCCGCUCUCCAAAGAUCUUCAACACUUAUAGAUUUUCACUCAGAAACUCUUCCUCUGACUCUUUUCUGUUUAAUAUUUAUUACCCCAACAAAAUAAAAUAAACACAGCGACAUGAAGGGGUUGUUCCAUGUUUUCUAUGUCUGUACAGUCUAUGGUCUGAGGCCUUUAUAUGAAGCAGGCUUAUAUUAGAGACCAGGCCCCACAAACAGGACCUGAAGGACG